GAUGAACGCUGGCUACAGGCUUAACACAUGCAAGUCGAGGGGAAACGACGGGGAAGCUUGCUUCCCCGGGCGUCGACCGGCGCACGGGUGAGUAACGCGUAUCCAACCUGCCUCUGACUGAGGGAUAACCCGUCGAAAGUCGGCCUAAUACCUCAUGGCAUCGUCUGCGGGCAUCCAACGACGAUUAAAGAUUUCAUCGGUCAGAGAUGGGGAUGCGUCUGAUUAGCUUGUUGGCGGGGUAACGGCCCACCAAGGCGACGAUCAGUAGGGGUUCUGAGAGGAAGGUCCCCCACAUUGGAACUGAGACACAGUCCAAACUCCUACGGGAGGCAGCAGUGAGGAAUAUUGGUCAAUGGGCGAGAGCCUGAACCAGCCAAGUAGCGUGCAGGAUGACGGCCCUAUGGGUUGUAAACUGCUUUUAUGCGGGGAUAAAGUGAGGGACGUGUCCUUCAUUGCAGGUACCGCAUGAAUAAGGACCGGCUAAUUCCGUG
rnacentral:rRNA from 1 species